GGGGAGUUCCGGGCAGCGGCACGGCCUCCGUCGCCCCCUCAGGGCCGGCGGGCGCUCGACGGCCCUUGCGCGCCGGGGUUGGUGCGCUGAGGGUGGCCGUUGGGCUCUGAGGAGAAGCCGCCGCGCCGCGGGUAGGCAGCCCUGUGAAGGGCAGAUAGGAGAGCGCUCGGCCUGAGCGCUCUCCGAACCCAGGCGCUGUGCUGGGCGGAGCCGCCUCAGGAGAGCCCGCACCGCAGGAGAAGAAAGGUUUGGGCCUCUGGAAAGAAAACACCUAGUCCUGAAGACCAUACCUUAUAUACAAGCCCACAUCCAAAUGCCUUCCCCAGGAUUUCAGCAGUGGUCAGCCUCUCCUCAGGUAACACUUCAUUUCAGGUAACAGUACUUUCUCAACAGGAGUGAAAACAGGCAUGUUCCUCUAAGCCACGCAGUCCACAAGAGGACACACCAUGUGGUGCUGUGUUUGCCUUAGAGGAACUGAGCUGGUUUUCCUUGUUUCACUAUGUGAAAUUGCCGUUUGAGUGACAUGGCAGCAACUGCAGAGAUUGUGGACCAAAAGGAAGUUUUUUAUAUCUCAGCGUUAUUUAAUGCUGAGAUAUAAAGUAAAAAAGUAAGUUCUUCUACCCAAAGCCUUGCACAUAUAGAUUCCUGCAGAAACUGGUACUCCUCCUUAGCUCCCCGAAGAAAUACAACAGUGUAAUAACCUCAACAGUCUAUCUUCAGAAAAAAAAUGCUGCAGCUUUUUUCCUCUCUACUUUUCUAAUUCCUUUCCUGUAAUCCUUUUUUUUUUUCUUUUUGCCUGUCAUCACUGAAAUCACAGUGUAUAUGAUAGAGGUUUAAUUUUCUUCUCAUAGGCAUGAAUAGGUACUUGAAACUCCUCCCCCAUUUCUUGUUGUUUGUUGGAAGAGCCUCCUUUGCCUUCAUCAUCGCAUGGUGUCCCUCAGUAACCAUGGCAGGUUGAAUACCUUAUACUGAAGUUCUCAGUACAAGGUGUUCAAUCUCCAUUUACUCUGUCAGUUUGAAGCUGCCUAAUUACAAAAGCAAUUGUAAUUACAUACCAUAGUAGUGUGAAAAACCCUCUAUAAUUGUAAAAUUUCAUAGCCUCAACUCAUUGUAAAAAUUCCUUGUUAAAAGUCACGUGAUAAAUUAAGUCCUGUGAAUAUGCUUUGGAAUGGCACCCAAUUAACUGAUUUAUUACAUACAUGGUUUUCUAAAAGGAAAUAAGCAGGUGCAAACUGCAAAAACAAUUCAGAGCUUUAUUGUAAAAUUAUCUGUAUUCUCAUUGACUGGAUGCUUCAGAGCCUUCUGAACUAGCGAAUGUGAACUCUGCUGAGAAGGGUCACAUGCAUCCAUCCCUUCAAAUGAAACCAGCAAACGAUCUAGAAAACCAUCAAAUAAUCAGGCUAGAUCAGAAUUUACAUUUAGAACUUUCCCAAUGAAUAGGUGCUGUGCAGAUUUAAAUGCUGGAUUAAUUCAUUAGAGGAGUAGCAAUGAAUUUUUAAUUACUAUCUAUUUAAAAUUCAGAAUACUUAGACUGUUCCAGGGAGAUCUUCAGAAGUUCUAUUACAUACAAAAUGCUCUAUUUAUUUCAAUGAAAUUUUUAUAGAGGCUGUGUAAAUCUAUUUAAAAUAAAGAGAUAUGUGAUAACAGGUGGAAA
rnacentral:lncRNA from 1 species